rnacentral:rRNA from 1 species
GACGAACGCUGGCGGCGUGCUUAACACAUGCAAGUCGAACGGAGUGGGGAACGGGUGAGUAACACGUGGGUGAUCUGCCUUGCACUUCGGGAUAAGCUUGGGACACUGGGUCUAAUACCGGAUAGUUCAUGCUGAGGUGCCGGCCUAUCAGCUUGUUGGUGGGGUUAUGGCCUCCGAAGGCGUCGACGGGUAGCCGGCCUGCGAGGGUGUACGGGCACAUUGGCCCUGAGGUAGGGGCCAGACGCCUACGGGAGGCAGCAGUGGGGAUUAGUGCACAAUCGGCGGAGGCCUGAUGCAGGGACUCCGGGUUGGGGAUGAAUGCCUUCGGGUUGUAAACUCCUUUCGACAUGGACGCGGUACCUGAAUAAGAAGCACCGGCUAACUACGUGCCAGCAGCCGCGGUAAUAC